UACAGAGGGUGCAAGCGUUGUUCGGAAUUAUUGGGCGUAAAGCGCGUGUAGGCGGCUUUGCAAGUCGGGUGUGAAAGCCCUCAGCUCAACUGAGGAAGUGCGCCCGAAACUGCAGAGCUUGAGUGCCGGAGAGGGUGGCGGAAUUCCCCAAGUAGAGGUGAAAUUCGUAGAUAGGGGGAGGAACACCGGUGGCGAAGGCGGCCACCUGGACGGUUACUGACGCUGAGACGCGAAAGCUAGGGGAGCGAACAGG
rnacentral:rRNA from 1 species